rnacentral:rRNA from 1 species
UGAGGAAUAUUGCGCAAUGGGGGAAACCCUGACGCAGCAACGCCGCGUGAGUGAGGAAGGUUUUCGGACCGUAAAGCUCUGUCGAGCGGGAAGAAAUGCAUGGUGGCUAAUAUCCAUCAUGCUUGACGGUACCGCUAAAGGAAGCACCGGCUAACUCCGAGCCAGCAGCCGCGGUAAUACGGGGGGUGCGAGGGGUGUUCGGGAUUAUUGGGCGUAAAGAGCGUGUAGGCGGCUGAAUAAGUCAGAUGUGAAAUCCCUGGGCUUAACCCAGGACGGGCAUUUGAAACUAGUCGGCUAGAGUAGGGGAGAGGAAAGUGGAAUUCCUGGUGUAGAGGUGAAAUUCGUAGAUAUCAGGAGGAACACCGGUGGCGAAGGCGACUUUCUGGCCCUAUACUGACGCUGAGACGCGAGAGCGUGGGUAGCAAACA